UAUGAUUUUAUUUUUUAAAAAAUCAUAACUAUUCUUUCAUAUGAAAUACUUGGAAGUCAAAUUCAAAAUCAUAAAGCUAAUGUAAGACUUAAUUUUUAUAUCCAUGUGAAAACUGUUUAUUUUUGUUCCCAUGACAGAAAUGGUAAGUUGCUUAUCCAUAUUUUUCAAUUCAGUAAUUUAUGUUGCUCUGAGGGCUUGUUUAAAAAUAAAUAAUACAGCCAGGUGUGGUGGCACAUGCCUGCAAUACCAGCUACUUGGGAGGCUGAGGAUUGCAAGUUUGAGGCCAGCCUGUCUCAAAAAGUUUAAAAAAGGGCUGAGGAUGUAACUCAAUGGUAGAGUACCCUGGGUUCAAUCCCCAGUACGUACAUACAUAAAAUAAAUCACAUAAAUAUUCUAGUUUUAAAAUUAGAAUGGUAGGUUACAACGCCAGCACUACACAGGUUUGUAGUAAGUUUGGAAAUCUCUUGUUUUCUUUGAUUUCCAUGUGAAUUUUAGAAUUGGCACAUCUUUUUCUCUUAAUAAAAAGUAGGUGAAAUUUUGAUAAUUGCAUCUGUUGACCAUUUAGGGGAGUUUUAUUGUCUGUUUUGUAGUUUUCAGUGGCAAAAAAAAAAAAAAAAAAGCAAAAAACGUUUCUUUGGUUCAAUUUAUUCCACUGCUGGAUUGAACCCAGCUCUGCCAUUGAGCUACAUGCUGCUGAGAUUGCAGGCAUGUGUUGCCACACCUGGCAAAUACAACUGAUAUUUUAAUAUAAAUCUGUAUUGUAAUCUUGCUGAACAUACUUAUUUAUGUAUAUAAGAUCAUGUCAUCUGCAAUGAAAUAGUUUUACUUUUUUCUUUGCAUUCUGGAUACCUCUUAUUUGUGUCUCUUAUUUAAUAGCUCCAGGUACUGAGGAUUGAACUCAGGGUGCUUUACCAGUGAGCUACAUCCCCAGCUCACACACACACCUUUUUGAGUCUCACAAGUUGCUGAGGCUGGCCUUGAACUUGCAAUCCUCCUGCAUCAGCCUCUGGAAUCACUGGGAUUACAGAUGUGAGCCAUCACGCCUGGCUAACAAUUUUUUUUAAAUAUUUUUUUUUAGUUGUAGAUGGACACAAUAUCUUUAUUUUUAUUUGUUUAUUUUUAUGUGGUGCUGGGGAUUGAACCCAGGGCCUCAAGUGUGCGAGGCAACCACUCUACCACUGAGCUACAAACCCAGCCCUAACAAUGUGUUUUAAUGAACAGAUGGAAAGCUUUUGUUGUGGCUUUGAGUUGUUAUUCCUAUCUACGUCAGAAAAUACAUUUUGUUCAGCUGAAUUUCUAAAUCGCUUGAAGAUACUCAUCAAGCUGAAGCCAUAAAACUGCUUCUUGAUAGUUUUUGGACAGUUCGAUUCAUGUACAUUUAAUGGUUUCUAAGCCUAUUAAGCUGAUUGUCUUCAUUAACCUAAGUUAAUUUGAGUCUGUGUUCACUUGUCUAAAGAUACAGAGACACAGAGAUAUAAGAGACAUAAGAUGAUUUGUUUUUAUUGGUUGGUUUACUUUAAUGCUUCUUUAUCACCUGUACUUGGGCUUCUCCAACACGCAUUCCUGGAGUACUAGGAGCGUACCAGAGGGUGUGGAGCUAAGGUGCCUCUCUCUCUGGGAGGUAAGUGGUUAGAGCUGUUUCUGUGUUCUCCUCUGCCUAUCUUGGGGUGCCCUACAUAGAAAGGUUUGAGAAGCAGGGAGCUUGUCAGAGCUUCCUGGAUUGGGUUUCCUGGUAGUGUUGGAGUCUGCAUCUUUCCACAGUACCUACAUGAAAGUCACAUGUCACUGAAUUGCUACCGUGGAGAGGAAAGUCUCAAAAGCAGGACUUGGUAGUUCACCUGCAGCAUUGCCCUAGAAAACAAUUUUUUAAAAAAAAUCUUUUGUGUGCACUUAGCCGGAGCCUUGUCUAUCAAAUGUCACUGUUGUGCUGGGCUCUAGGGGAUACGUAGGGAUGACCAUCAGCAGGCUUUACCUGGCAAAUACCCUCUGAGAGAUGCUUGUAUGUGGAAAAAACCUUUCUGUGUUCAAGACCAGUUCUUUGGUUUAACCUAGGCUUUUUUUUUUUCACUUUUUUUAAAUUUUUAGUUGUAGUUGGACACAACACCUUUAUUUCACUCAUUUAUUUUUAUGUGGUGCUGAGGAUCGAACCCAGGGUCGAUUGCUCUACCACUGAGCCACAACCCUAGCCCUAACCUAGGCUUCUUUAUGCAAAAACUUAGCCCAGAUUUUUGAAAUGUAAUUCAUCAUCAUAAAUAUGAUCAUUUUGAAAUUUCUUUGGUAGAUUAUGACAAUAGAAUAAGAUCAGUGUUAUCCGUAAGUAACACAUCCCCACAUGGCUAGAAGAUCUCUGCCGUGCAAGUGGUGUAAGGAUAGU
rnacentral:lncRNA from 1 species